rnacentral:lncRNA from 1 species
AGAACAGAGAUGACAAUCAAGCUUUUACUCUCUGUAAUAUAGAGACAUCAUUCUUGAUUAAGAGAAUUUUAUUCAAACAACACAAAGAAUAUUUUUACAGAAUUAAUAGUCCAUUUGUACAUACAGGAUUCUACUUCAUUCUCAAUGAAAUCAUACAUUCAAAACAUAUGUUCCAACUCUGAGAAAUUGAUUCAAUCGAAUGGAUUUGAAGAUGGCCACAACAAAAAUUUUUCAUCAUAGUCAACACUAUAACUUUGAUGAAAUCUUUUGGUAAUCAGACAGAAUUAAUAAGUCUCUACCUUUUCAUUUGCACCUCUUAUCUGUCUAAAAUUCACUCACACCUUAUGGGUGUUACCCAUUUAGGUGAAUCAACGAAUGUCCAUACAUCGUUGAUCUUUAUGGACUCUAUUUCAGAUUUAAUAGCUCUAAACCACUUCUCAAAGUUAGAUCCCUGUAUUAUAUCCGUAUGGAAGAUCAAAUCUCUAUCCUGAACCUAGAAAUCAAAGUAUCUGUUCGGCUAAUAUGGUACUCAACCAUAUCUACUCAAGGAUGCCUUUACAUCGGACUUUGAAAUUGAUCUAAUCUACUCUAGUUCUCUUGAUUUGUAGCAGAGUCGGUUCCUCUACCUAUCAAGCUUCAUCAAGCUUGCUCUUAACAGUAUCAGUUCCUUCACUAAGAAACUUCUUUUUCAAAAAAAAUAUCUUAAGAUUCAUGAACAUCUCAUAUCCAUCAGUAAGGUAGAUGAAAUAUUUUUAAUAUAAUAUUUAUCAGAUCAAAAUCCAAACUAAUCGAUUUUCGAAUAUUUCACAUAAAUUCGACACCCCCAACGUUAAAGUAAGAGAGUAUUGAAUUAUCUAAGUCCAUAUCUCAUAUGAAGUUUUGGUGAUCAAUUUGCUCAGAACCUUCUCGAGCACAUAUCAAGUAGUCUCUAAUACAUAACCUCGGACAGACCAGUAAACCUCACAGUGGAUCAAACUAUGUUUAACAAAAUUUAAUAAUUUUUUUCAGACAUCGUUUUUAAAUAGUGAUGUUUCAAGAGAGAUCCAUUAAGAAAGAAUCUAAUUUUCUCUAAGACAUAUCAAAAUUUACUGUAAAGGUAUUCACUUCAUCAGUCAAAUCGAUAAAUUUUAAUACUCUUUGCAAUUUAUUUUUCUACCUCAUUACAAAAUUAUUUGAAUAUUUCAAUCGAUUCGGAUUUGUGCUUCAUAAGUAAGAUGCACUCAUGCCAAAAUAGAUCGUCAAAGAUUUUAAUGAAGUAGCAGGCCCUCUUCUGGCACUUAUGUUCAUGAGUGCAAAUACAUCAAUAUGUAUCAAACUCAGAACAUUUCUGGCUCAUACAUCCUUUUCAAUAAAAGGUGACUAAGUUAAUUAUGCCAA